CGGAGGGAGAGGCGAUCGAGCCCAGGUACUGGUAGGACUGGUCGUAGGACCAGGGCGGGGAGGGCUGGAUCUGCCUGUUGUCAUGCAUCUGACCCUGAG